GGAGUGUAUAGUCUGACUGUCUAUUGUGCUUUGGAAGAGGCCGUCUGAUGUACCUAUCUCUGUAAAUGAUACAGCCUUGCCUCAGAGGCUCAAUAGUCAAGAUUGGAAGAGCACUC